rnacentral:tRNA from 3 species
GGCAUUAGCUCAGUUGGUAGAGCGUUGCGUUCGCAAUGCAAAGGUCAGGGGUUCGAUUCCCCUAUGCUCC